rnacentral:lncRNA from 1 species
UUAUUCGUAAAUUUUUUUGCAUAUUUUCUUGUUUUAGUGUUUAACGCAUAUAUUUAAUUUUAAAAACGAGGUAUGAAAUAAGUAUAAUUUAUUCUACUUGUGCUGAUUUAGUGUACUAAACAUAGUCACCUUGAGAUGGCUUCUAUGUUAAACAAAUGCUUUAAGUAGCUAAGUAAUAUGUAUAAGUAUCUGUCAUUUUCAUUCAAAUACAUCAAUUUGGAGUGUUUCAUCCCAUCCUAUAACGGUCAAAGCAAACAUAGCUGUUUUCCCAUGUAUCCAUCUAAUAGAUUAUAUGUAUCUAGCAAAAGUAGCUCUACGUUAUUUUCACAAUUUGUGUUUUUUUUCUUCCUAAAUUUAACACAUAUUUGUC